rnacentral:rRNA from 1 species
ACUCUCUUGGUGUGUACUGGGUGUUAACCUCCUUUUUUCUGGUACUUGCUAUCCAGCAAUGGUAGUUUUGUCCAGAUAGUUUACUUUGAAAAAAUUAGAGUGUUCAAAGCAGGCAUAAUUGGCAUCAUGAAUACAUUAGCAUGGGAUAAUAGAAUAUGACAUUGGUCUUAUUUUGUUGGUUUCUAAGGCCAAAGUAAUGAUUGAUAGGGAUAGUUGGGGCCGCUCGUAUUGAGUUGUCAGAGGUGAAAUUCUAGGAUUUACUCAAGACGAACUAAUGCGAAAGCAUUCGGCAAGGAUGUUUUCAUUAAUCAAGAACGAAAGUUGGGGGAUCGAAGAUGAUCAGAUACCGUCGUAGUCUCAACCAUAAACUAUGUCAACCGAGGAUCCGGUAGCGUUACAUGGAUGACCUUCCGGGCACUCUGUGAGAAAUCAUAAGUAUUUGGAUUUCGGGGGG